rnacentral:rRNA from 1 species
GACGAACGCUGGCGGCGUGCUUAACACAUGCAAGUCGAGCGGUAAGGCUCCUUCGGGAGUACACGAGCGGCGAACGGGUGAGUAACACGUGAGUAAUCUGCCCUUCACUUCGGGAUAACCACCGGAAACGGUGGCUAAUACCGAAUACGACCAGUCUUCGCAUGAGGUGCUGGUGGAAAGUCUUUUCGGUGAAGGAUGUGCUCGCGGCCUAUCAGCUUGUUGGUGGGGUAAUGGCCUACCAAGGCUUCGACGGGUAGCCGGCCUGAGAGGGUGACCGGCCGCACUGGGACUGAGACACGGCCCAGACUCCUACGGGAGGCAGCAGUGGGGAAUAUUGGACAAUGGGCGAAAGCCUGAUCCAGCAACGCCGCGUGAGGGAUGACGGCCUUCGGGUUGUAAACCUCUUUCAGUACCGACGAAGCGCCCUGUCGGGUGGUGACGGUAGGUACAGAAGAAGGACCGGCCAACUACGUG